GAUGAACGCUGGCGGCGUGCCUAAUACAUGCAAGUCGAGCGAACAGACGAGGAGCUUGCUCCUUUGACGUUAGCGGCGGACGGGUGAGUAACACGUAGGUAACCUACCUAUAAGACUGGGAUAACUUCGGGAAACCGGAGCUAAUACCGGAUAAUAUUUCGAACCGCAUGGUUCGAUAGUGAAAGAUGGCUUUGCUAUCACUUAUAGAUGGACCUGCGCCGUAUUAGCUAGUUGGUAAGGUAACGGCUUACCAAGGCAACGAUACGUAGCCGACCUGAGAGGGUGAUCGGCCACACUGGAACUGAGACACGGUCCAGACUCCUACGGGAGGCAGCAGUAGGGAAUCUUCCGCAAUGGGCGAAAGCCUGACGGAGCAACGGCGCGUGAGUGAUGAAGGUCUUCGGAUCGUAAAACUCUGUUAUUAGGGAAGAACAAACGUGUAAGUAACUGUGCACGUCUUGACGGUACCUAAUCAGAAAGCCACGGCUAACUACGUG
rnacentral:rRNA from 1 species